GUUCCUUUCAUGUCCAUACAUGAAGUAAAGAUGAUCAGUGAACUUCGGCUUCAGUUCGGAUAAUUCAAAAUGCAAUGCAUUGGGUCAAAGUUUUGAAUAAACGACUUACUUCAACAUGACACAGGGAAACAACAUUCUCAUUCUCGAUCUUAUCUCUGUUGGAGCUUUUAAGUUUGGAUCGAUUACACCGUCAGUUGAAGUAGAAAUUGACCAUUUUUAAUUGGGACCGAUUGGAACAGCAUAUUUGCCGCUUCCGUCGAAAUGUAAACACAGUACACGACCAGAAUUAAAUGUUGUUUUGUAAUGUAUUGACCAUAUAUACGCAAGCCCUGUUGACCUUGAUGACAUUUGGCUCCUAAUUAUUUCCUACGAGGCAACAAGGAUACAUACUAUUGGAAGCUUGUCAAAGAUCGCAGUUAUCAGCCAAGUUCAAUAAGUCGAAUGGCGAAGUUAUUGAAAGACCGGAGUGCCAAGCCUUCAAGAAAAAGGAGGAGAAAGGAUUGGGAUUAUUCAAAUACCACAAUAACGCGCAAACAUUUAACGAUGCCUAAACCAAGAAGGAUAAGUUUGGUAACCAUUGCGGAUAUUGUUGUCAAACAUGAUCACGUGUAUGCUCAACGUUCAUGGACAUUCCCUAUCAAAAAAGUACAUGAUGGUGAUCACAAAUAUUCUCUUCUUUCAUGGGAUUACCGCAACAAUAAAACACAGCCAGGCCAUUGUACUAAAACGUUGAUCGUACAACGCAAACAGUGACCGGCGAGGAACGGACACAUGCCCUAGAAAUCCCCGAUUAUCUAAGAGAUGAUGAUACUGAAGGUUUGGAAGAAGACAGUGAGGUCUUAAAAGACACGAUCCAGAGACAAGACUCUUGUUCCCUCAAUAUUUCCUCAAAGGUUCAUAUUACAAUGGAAUCUGUUAUUGAUGGUUAUGAAUACCACAAUCCGAGUUGUUCCAAUGAUCUAUUUGAUUCUGAUAUUAAAGGGAAGCCUUUGUUAGGUGAUUUUGAAGCCCAUACUCGAACACAUGGUCCGAAUUAUUCCAAUUCCACCACAGACGUUUAUAUAAAGUCAGAGCCAAUUGCAAUUCACGAGAAAAAAUUAAUAGAUAAUCAUAAAGUGCCUUACAUUUACGUGGAGCCUACCUCUUUGGACUUGAAAGAUCUAAUUGCAAUCAAUGGCACGAACGUAAUAGACAAUCCUCAAGUGCGUAGCAUUAUAGUAAAGGAUUUUGAAAAUCACACUGAUUUCUCCCGGAAUUCCACUGAGUUUGCCAUAAAAGUCAAACAUGUUUUUGAAGAAUUUAACGACCACACUAUUACACAGGCAACGGGUGCUCCAAAUAAUACUGCAGAAAGUAAAGCUAAACAAUUGGGAUUAUAUAACGGAAAUCGAAACAGUCGUAUUGUAGAAAUAAAUGAAGAUUUAGGAUAUCAUAUUGAUGUAAACUAAAUGGAUACCCCUUAUAAUUGCACAGAGAAUGACAUUGCAAGUCAGAAUAUUAUGAAAAUGAAAAGUCGCAGCGUAACUUUAUUUGCUUUUUGUGGAAAUUAAUGUUAACACUAUUAAGGCAUUCUUAGUUCACAUUGAAAAGCGCAAGCUAACUUUUUCAGUUGUAUGUCGAAGGCAAUGCUGCAUUUAUUAAACUAUACAUUGAUGUGCACAUUGACUUCAUUUGCGAUCUGUUUGUGCAGAAAUCUGCUCCUCAAAAUCGCAGAGUUUGGGCAUGUUUGCCUUGCCUGUUUGACAGUUGUUUUAUCAGUUUUGCUAGCGAAUUUCUCUUAAUUACGUUUACCGGGGACAUAUUCUAUCUUUUUCAGUCUUCUAAGCACUUACUUGCAUUUCCAAAGGGUUAUUAAUUUAUAACACACCGUGCGGAAAAGCGUUUCAGUAAAACAAUUAGAAGAACAAGCUGCUCAAACCAGUAAAACAAGAGGCUGAUCGGUGUAUCAAAUGCAAAGUUUACAUGAAUGCUUUGAAGACAGAAAACAGGUGAUAAGAUGAAACGAACCAAGUCGAUGGAACUUAUCGUUAAUGCUAAGUAUGAUAUACUUAUUACGAACUAAAACAUAACGACAAUUUGCAAGAACAGAUACAUAUGAUAAAUUGUCGUAAAAGAUGAGCAGACAUAACUUGGAAUGGGGAUACAAAAAACACGACACAAAGACAGCUACUAAAAUUAUGUUUGUGUUUAUUAAUAUAUGGCAGCAACCUUUUAUAGUAACCAAACACAUGAUUUUACUUGGGGCUAAUCCGGUCAAAGUCAUUGUUUAGAAAAAAAAUCGUUAUCGACCAAAUAUGGUUUGGAUGGACUAAUUUCACUGAAAUUGUGUGUAGGUUGCUUUCCGACAUUGCUUUGAAUUACAUUUUGGUGUAAUAGGGCCUAGGUCAAUAACUAGGUUAUUACAAUUAGAAAAACGUCAAAUAGAAGGUUUUGAUCAAUAUUUUAAGUUUGCAAUGACCAAUCCGGAUGAAACGUUGGAUGUAGCAAGAUUUCAUGGAGAGCAAGCCUGGGAUGUGUUUGGGUUAUUUUCAAUGUUACUGUUAUUCAAAAAAGAAAAUAUUUGUGUGAAUAAUAACUUUAGUUUUGAUACAGGUAUUUACACUGGAACUUUAUAUUUAUGUGUCUUACAUGCAUAUUUAGCAUGGGAAUGCAUAAUGGACCAGUAGAGUUAAAGGGAUCUUUUCACGCUUUGGUAAAUUGACAAAAUGUUUCAGAUUCGUAAGUUUUCGUUUUAGUUAUGAUAUUUGUGAGGAAACAGUAAUACUGAACAUUAACCAUGCUCUAAUAUAGCCAUUAUAUGCAUAUUUUGACGAUUUUAAAACUUAAAAAUUAUAAAGCGUUGCAACGCGAAACGAUUGAAUAAUUUGGAGAGUUCUGUUUUUGUCGUUAAAUUUUGUGAAACUACGAAGAUUGCUUAUAUAAGGUAUAAAAUACGUCAAGAAUGGGUACUCGGCGGAAUAGCUCAGUAGGCUAAAGCGUUUUUACUUCAGGACUCUGGCAGGACUCCAGGGGUCACUGGUUCGAAACCUGCUCCGGGUAAUGUUCUUUUCCUUUUUUUAAUUUUUUUCUUGAUUUUUUACUGGAGCUUUUACGAUCCAAUGUUUACAUUUAUCAAUAUAAAGCGUUUAAUAAAUAAGUUUAAAACAUGCCAAAAUCUGUGAAAAGGCCCCUUUAAGACUACUAGUUCUAGAAAUAAAAACUAAACGGCUUGCGCUUAAUAACUCGUUUUGGUGAUAUACUUUGAAAAUAAUGUAGGUAGGUUCUUACGUGCAGAUCUAGCUGGGUAUUGCAUAUUUGUGUUUUAAUAAAAGUAAAUUAAUUAGUAAACCGUUGAAAACCUGGUUUAGUGGCGUUGUUGUUGUUGGUUUUGUGUAAAUCUAGUUUGCUGAAUAUUAAAUAAUGUGUUUAGUGUUUUCAAAAUACUUGUUUAUAAUUAUUUUAAAUUCAACUGUAUUACGAAUACAUGUAAUUGUUGUUAAUGUUCUUCAACAUAAAACAGGUAUGGCAAAAUAA